UAGCUAGUUGGUGGGGUAAGGGCCUACCAAGGCGACGAUCGGUAGCUGGUCUGAGAGGAUGGCCAGCCACACUGGAACUGAGACACGGUCCAGACUCCUACGGGAGGCAGCAGUGGGGAAUAUUGGACAAUGGGGGGAACCCUGAUCCAGCAAUGCCGCGUGUGUGAAGAAGGCCUGAGGGUUGUAAAGCACUUUUAGUGGGGAGGAGGUUUGAUUGGUUAAGAGCUGAUUAAAUGGACGUUACCCACAGAAAAAGCACCGGCUAACUCCGUGCCAGCAGCCGCGGUAAUACGGAGGGUGCGAGCGUUAAUCGGAAUUACUGGGCGUAAAGGGUGCGUAGGUUGUCUGAUAAGUUGUCUGUGAAAUUCCUGGGCUUAACCUGGGCAUGUCAGAUGAUACUGUUGGACUAGAGUAUAGGAGAGGGUAGUGGAAUUUCCGGUGUAGCGGUGAAAUGCGUAGAGAUCGGAAGGAACACCAGUGGCGAAGGCGGCUACCUGGCCUAAUACUGACACUGAGGCACGAAAGCGUGGGGAGCAAACAGGAUUAGAUACCCUGGUAGUCCACGCUGUAAACGAUGUCAACUAGCUGUUGGUUAUUUAAAUAUAAUUAGUGGCGC
rnacentral:rRNA from 1 species